GACGAACGCUGGCGGCGUGCUUAACACAUGCCAGUCGAACGGAAAGGCCCUGCUUGUGGGGUGUGCUCGAGUGGCGCACGUGUGUGUAACACGGGAGUAACCUGCCCUUGACUUUGGGAUAACUUCAGGACACUGGGGCUUAUACCGGAUAGGCACGCCUGCGGCAUGGUGGGGGUUGGAUAGGUUCGGUUGGUGGGUAUGGACUCGCGGCUUAUCAGCUUGUUGGGGGGGUAGUGGUUUACCAAGGCUUUGACGGGUAGGCGGCCUGAGAGGGUGAGCGACCAUAUUGGGACUGAGAGACGCCGCAGCCUACUACGGGAGGCAGUAGUGGAGAUUGUUCCACGGUGGGAGGACGCCUGAUGCAGCGACGCCGCGUGCGGGAUGACGGCCUUCUUGUUGUAACCCGCCUUCGACUGUGACGAAGCGUGAGUGACGGUAAUGGGAAAAGAAGCACCGGCUAACUACGUG
rnacentral:rRNA from 1 species